UACGUAGGGACCAAGCGUUGUUCGGAUUUACUGGGCGUAAAGGGGCGCGUAGGCGGCUUAACAAGUCACUUGUGAAAUCUCCGGGCUUAACUCGGAACGGCCAAGUGAAACUGUCAAGCUAGAGUGCAGAAGGGGCAAUCGGAAUUCUUGGUGUAGCGGUGAAAUGCGUAGAUAUCAAGAGGAACACCUGAGGUGAAGACGGGUUGCUGGGCUGACACUGACGGCUGAGGCGCGGAAAGCCAGGGGAGCAAACGGG
rnacentral:rRNA from 1 species